ensembl:lncRNA
AUGAAUCACACAUUAUUCAUCGUUUUUAGUACAUUUAUUUAUUUUAUAAUUUCCCCCAAGGUCAGAUUCCAUCUCAGGUGAUACUAUCAUCACACACAGACUCUCUGGCCUUUCCAGAAUGACUAAGAAACUUCUGAAGAACCUUUUAUUGAUUGAAACAACCAGAUGAAUUUUUUUUACCUUUGUUAUCUGAAAUUACAACCUUACAUUAUAAAUUCUGAUAAAUUAGUCAUCAAAUAAAAGCAAAAUUGACAGCAUAUUGGCUUUACAUUUAUUUAUCCAAUGUAUAAACACAUGAAAGGCUGCUAAUAUGCUGAUUUUAACAAGAUAAUAUGUGCAUCAUUUUUCGUUUUUGAACAAGAAUAUGCAGACUGGAGCUUUCAUACAGAUGUACAGACAACUAAAUUGCUUUGGUGUCAGAACAUGUUUAUGGAGUCAGUUUUUAUUAAUUAAAAACAUUAGGUUUAUAUGGCGGAUCAAUAAAAUUUUUGUCUGAGUGCACAUUUCUUUGUUUUGCAUUGCAACUACUCAACAAAAACACAUUCCAUGGGAAUAAAACCCUGAAAACGCUUCCUUGUGAGAAAAAAGUAGUGUGCUUUUUGGCAACACUUAUUUUUACAAUGAUUGUAUUAUUAAUGUAUCUCAGGUAAAGCUAUUUAAAGACAUGGCACUCACAUGGGGACUGCAAAUAUACAUAAUAAUUAUUUUAACAAAUAAACAUUAAACUGAGAAUAUUUACUGAAAUGAGUUACUAAAGGGCACAGACAAAUUAAUGUCAGUGGUCAAAUAUUCAAUGCAAUAUGCUCACAGAUACUACACUGAAUAUUUGACCACUGACAUUAAUCUGUCUGUGCCCUUUAGUAACUAAUUUCAGUAAAUAUUUUCAGUUUAAUGUUUAUUUGUUAAAAUUAUUAUUGAUGUAUAUUUGCAAUCCCCAUAUUUCAUAUUUCAAAGCACAGAUUUACUCUUAUUAGGGCCUGCCCCUUAUGUGAUCAAAUGUGGAAUACAUAAUCAAUACACCUAGCACAGCUACAGUGAUCUGCAAUUAUAUAUACAGUAUAUAUAUAUAUAUAUAUAUAUAUGACAAAAUAUCAGGAAACAUUAGUCUGUAUUAUAGGGAUGCACAGUCAAUAUUACAUUUGUAAUUGUUCAUGCAUUUCCUUUGUUUUUUUGCAUUUUGAUUACUUUUAGCAUCAUCUAUAGCUUCCUUAAAGUUUAUUUAUAAAAACACUAAUAAUUUUAAAUCACUCUUGAAUGUGGCUUUUAGCAAGUCUCAAAAUGAAUAUGAAUUUUCAUACUGUACAUUAUAAUGUUGUGAUGUAUAAAUAAAAGCUUUUUUUUUUUUUUUUUUAAAUUGUGUACGUACAAUUGUAAAAUCAGCCAUUUAUUUUUAUCAUCUAUAACAGAAAAAUGAUUAUAGGCUUUUCUAUAUUGGCCAGAUUUUAAUAUUGGUGCAUCCCUAGUAUGUAUUUCAUAUACAUUUGAUAUAUUCAUGUUCUCAAAACACAGACAAGGAACUGCAUUAACAAAACCACACCUCACAAACUGUUCAUCUAACAUUAAAAACCACAAGUCUGUCUUCUCUUCAAGAAGUCCAUCUCUGAUUGGACAGCUCAUGUCCAAACACUGUCCAAUCAGCGCAGACUGUCCUCAUUUAGGACAACAUACAGUAUAUGCUGAAUCAUCUUGUGGAUUAAUUCAGCUCCAUGGAACUGAUCUGAUACAAGUCCCCCACUGCUCCUCAGCAAAAAUCCACCUUAAUUAGCCAUAUUCACUAGAUGGUGGCCCUCUAACCAGAUUGUAGUAGCCAGCCAAGGCGCCCAGAUCUAUAUAAAGGGAUCCUUUUUUCUUCGAGUGCCCAGAAUCCUCAGUGUACAAGGAAGAAUCUGAAAAUAGAAA